rnacentral:rRNA from 1 species
ACAGCAGCAGCCACGGUAAUACGUAGGGUGCGAGCGUUAAUCGGAAUUACUGGGCGUAAAGGGUGCGUAGGCGGGUCUUUAAGUCAGGGGUGAAAUCCUGGAGCUCAACUCCAGAACUGCCUUUGAUACUGAAGAUCUUGAGUUCGGGGGAGGUGAGUGGAACUGCGAGUGUAGAGGUGAAAUUCGUAGAUAUUUGUAGGAAUGCCGAUGGGGAAGCCAGCUUACUGGACAGAUACUGACGCUAAAGCGCGAAAGCGUGGGGAGCAAACAGGAUUAGAUACCCCUGUAGUCCCUGUCUCUUAUAA